UAAUAUGUGGUCAAUGCAAAAGAUGAAUUGUGACCAAGAAAUUGUUAGAAUUUUGUUGGAAUUUUUGUAUUAUUUGGUGAAUGGAAAAUUAAGUCAAAUUUAAAUCACUUAAAUACGUGAAUUAUUGAAAAUGUGCGUAGAAUAUUAUGAAAUAUUUUAGAAAUUAUUUGGCUGAAAAUGUGUCUUUUUAUAUGAAAGAUUAUGACUUUUGACAUUAUUAUUUUUCAAGAGACGUGCUCUUUAAAU
rnacentral:lncRNA from 1 species